UUAGAGCAACAUGACCACUCAUCACGGACUACCGAUACUUCAUAAUUUUCUUCUUUUUCUUUGGGUUAAUUCUCUUUACCCUUCACACUUGGAUUCCCUAGGAUUUUAAAGCUUUCCGUUUCUCACCUUACCCUCUUCAAUAUAAAUCUAGGCUCUAUAUAAUGGAUCAAAUGUAUCUCUGUCUUACUCCCAUAAGAUAUUGCACUCUCUACACCAUCCAUACUGCAUGCAAACUAUUAAAAACAGUAU
rnacentral:lncRNA from 1 species